GGUUGAUCCUGCCAGUAGUCAUAUGCUUGUCUCAAAGAUUAAGCCAUGCAUGUCUAAGUAUAUACUUUUGUACAGUUGAACUGCGGAUGGCUCAUUAAAUCAGUUAUAGUUUAUCGAUGGUCACUUACUACAUGGAUAACCGUGGUAAUUCUAGAGCUAAUACAUGCGUAAAACCUCAUUAGAGGUGUGCUUGUCUGAAUUGAACCUUUACGGCUUGCCGUUUUUUGGUGAAUCAGGACAAAAGUACGAAUCGACUUCGGUCGAUGCAUCAUUCGAGUUUCUGCCCUAUCAG
rnacentral:rRNA from 1 species